UGAGUAACCUGCCCUUAACUCUGGGAUAAGCCUGGGAAACUGGGUCUAAUACCGGAUAUGACUCCUCAUCGCAUGGUGGGGGGUGGAAAGCUUUAUUGUGGUUUGGAUGGACUCGCGGCCUAUCAGCUUGUUGGUGAGGUAAUGGCUCACCAAGGCGACGACGGGUAGCCGGCCUGAGAGGGUGACCGGCCACACUGGGACUGAGACACGGCCCAGACUCCUACGGGAGGCAG
rnacentral:rRNA from 1 species